rnacentral:ncRNA from 1 species
GAGAAAGCGUUGAAGAGGACAAGUAAAAAAACAAUGUUUUUCAGAGAGAACCAUCUUAGGCUGAAAGUGGUUCAGACCUCUUGUUUUUUGAAAUGCCCCUCCGAGUCCCAUGUCGAAAGGUCUAUUUUCCAAGUAGGCUUGGGCGGACCCCUCCGUUAACAGGUUAAGUUUGAGACCGCAUUUUUGUCUUUUUUCCACCUAUGAGAUAUUAGGGGCGUUGGAAGAGGAAUCAUAACGGUCUAAACAGAGUGGAACCGCGCUAUUGGCGUCUCUGUC